ACCCUUCUUCCCUUUAUGGUAAUUGAACCUCCUUGUGUCUGGCAGUUGGUAGUGCUACUAUUCGGCUUCUGUCAUUCUGAGAUCUUUUAUUUCUUUAAAAUCAAUGAGUCCAUGUAAGAGGCUUAAUCUGUCACAGUCUUUCCUUGCCUGCAAAGAACAGCCACCACUACCUUUGCAACAAUGCUGGAUCUGCCUUCCCUGGUAUCUCUUAAAGCUUUGGUGAAGGAAGUGUUCUCUAAAUCCUCCUCAGGGACACAAUAAUGGAAAAUAUGUGAGUUUCCCAUGAAAACACCCUCCAUCAUUCCUAUUUCCUUAAGCUUUUAGAUUCAUUAGUCUACAUUAAACUAAGGACAUUCUGGCACCUCAACCUUAUUUAAUUUAGGUCACUUCUAUGUUCAGAUUUAAAUCAACAGACUGAAUAAACUACGAGAACCACUCCCACCUGCUUGAGGUCACAGUCACACCAGAAUCUCCGGUAAAGGUACCCAUAUCAGUAAUCUAAUGUGGUACCUGGUAUGGUAUUUUUGUGUGUGUGUGCUGCUUCAAAACGUUUACAGUCAUUCCUCCCUACAUUCCUCCCCUGGUUUGUGUGAAGGUAAAUUUGAAAGAUAAUGUUUCUGUUUUCGUGUAUGUGCUAUCCCUCGGAUUAGACUUUGUAGUUAUUCCCAACUUGUCUUGUUUUCAUCCUCUAAUUAUAGAUCUGGAAGCAAUGAGUGGUAGUAGGUAUUGAAUAAAAUUGUCAUUGCCUUACAAGAGGACACAUCAUUGAGGUCAUUUAGAAUCUUCAGGUGAAGGAAGACUGAUGUUCUCAAACAGAAAAGAUGGGCUGUUUCUGAUGGAAAUUAAGGAUCAAUGAGGAGACUGUUUUCCAUGGGUCUCUCACAUUUCUGGACAUCUUGCAAAUGAAGGCACUCACUGACUUUAUUUCAAAUUAUCUUUUGAAGGAUGUUUAUAUAGCAAAUGACAGAGAAAAUGUCUCUCUCUAGGGUGAAGACCAGAUAGAAUUACUGCUCAUUUUAAAAGAUUCAGGUACCCUAUGUUUAGAAUUCCUCUCUUGUACCCCACCCCAUUAUGUGUGCAGGUAUUACCCAGACUUCUUUGUAUUAUCCUGUAGAUUUGUGUCUUCCAGAACCAAUGCAAAUGCUGAUACUCUGGUUUUUGCUGUUCUGAAUAAUAAAGUC
rnacentral:lncRNA from 10 species